AACCCAUGAUGUGGGCACCGCCUAAGAAGGUCCUUGAAUCGUUCAUGUGCUUUAAAUAGUAUUUCAUACUCUCCUCACUUAAAUACUGAGAUCUCUUGUCUAAUAUU